UGCGAGUGAAGCGGCAACAGCUCAAAUUUGAAAUCUGGCCCCUUUGGGGUCCGAGUUGUAAUUUGUAGAGGGUGUUUCGGGUGCGAUGCCGGUCUAAGUUCCUUGGAACAGGACGUCGCAGAGGGUGAGAAUCCCGUACGCGACCGGCAAUCAAGCCUGUGUGAAGCCCCUUCGACGAGUCGAGUUGUUUGGGAAUGCAGCUCAAAAUGGGUGGUAAAUUUCAUCUAAAGCUAAAUAUUGGCCAGAGACCGAUAGCGGACAAGUAGAGUGAUCGAAAGAUGAAAAGCACUUUGGAAAGAGAGUCAAACAGUACGUGAAAUUGUUGAAAGGGAAGCGCUUGCAAUCAGACCGGUCCGGAGGCGAUCAGCCGCUGCUCGUCCAGCGGUGCACUCGCCUGCGAUCCGGCCAGCAUCGGUUCGGGCGGUGGGAUAAAAGUCCCGGGAAUGUAGCUUCUCUCGGGGAGUCUUAUAGCCCGGGUCGCAAUGCCGCCCGCCCGGACCGAGGACCGCGCUUCGGCUAGGAUGCUGGCGUAAUGGUUGCAAGCG
rnacentral:rRNA from 1 species